CCUACGGGAGGCAGCAGUGAGGAAUCUUGGUCAAUGGCCGGAAGUCUGAACCAGCCAAGUCGCGUGAGGGAAUAAGGCCCUCUGGGUCGUAAACCUCUUUUGUCAGGGAGCAAAGGCGUCCACGUGAGGACGCGAGGAGAGUAGCUGCAGAAAAAGCAUCGGCUAACUCCGUGCCAGCAGGCGCGUUAAUACGGAGGAUGAGGGCGUUAUCCGGUUGGAUUGGGGUUAAAGGGUGCGUAGGCGGAGUGUCAAGUCAGCGGUAAAAUUUCGGGGCUAAACCCAGUCGUGCCGUUGAAACUGACGCCCUUGAGUGAGUGAGAAGUAAGCGGAAUGCGUGGUGUAGCGGUGAAAUGCAUAGAUAUCACGCAGAACGCCGAUUGCGAAGGCAGCUUACCGGCGCUCAACUGACGCUGAGGCACGAAAGUGCGGGUAUCGAACAGGAUUAGAUACCCUUGUAGUC
rnacentral:rRNA from 1 species